UACAGAGGUCUCAAGCGUUGUUCGGAUUCAUUGGGCGUAAAGGGUGCGUAGGCGGCCUUCUAAGUCGAACGUGAAAUCCCCGGGCUCAACCCGGGAACUGCGUCCGAUACUGGAAGGCUUGAAUCCGGGAGAGGGAUGCGGAAUUCCAGGUGUAGCGGUGAAAUGCGUAGAUAUCUGGAGGAACACCGGUGGCGAAGGCGGCAUCCUGGACCGGCAUUGACGCUGAGGAGCGAAAGCCAGGGGAGCAAACGGG
rnacentral:rRNA from 1 species